GUGGAUUAGAUACCCUGGUAGUCCACGCUGUAAACGAUGAAUACUAGGUGUGGGGGGACUGACCCCCUCCGUGCCGCAGUUAACACAAUAAGUAUUCCACCUGGGGAGUACGACCGCAAGGUUGAAACUCAAAGGAAUUGACGGGGGCCCGCACAAGCAGUGGAUUAUGUGGUUUAAUUCGACGCAACGCGAAGAACCUUACCAGGACUUGACAUCCAACUAACGAAGUAGAGAUACAUUAGGUGCCCUUCGGGGAAAGUUGAGACAGGUGGUGCAUGGUCGUCGUCAGCU
rnacentral:rRNA from 1 species